GAUGAACGCUGGCGUCGUGCCUAAUACAUGCAAGUCGAGCGAACGGACGAGAAGCUUGCUUCUCUGAUGUUAGCGGCGGACGGGUGAGUAACACGUGGAUAACCUACCUAUAAGACUGGGAUAACUUCGGGAAACCGGAGCUAAUACCGGAUGAUAUUUUGAACCGCAUGGUUCAAAAGUGAAAGACGGUCUUGCUGUCACUUAUAGAUGGAUCCGCGCUGCAUUAGCUAGUUGGUAAGGUAACGGCUUACCAAGGCAACGAUGCAUAGCCGACCUGAGAGGGUGAUCGGCCACACUGGAACUGAGACACGGUCCAGACUCCUACGGGAGGCAGCAGUAGGGAAUCUUCCGCAAUGGGCGAAAGCCUGACGGAGCAACGCCGCGUGAGUGAUGAAGGUCUUCGGAUCGUAAAACUCUGUUAUUAGGGAAGAACAUAUGUGUAAGUAACUGUGCACAUCUUGACGGUACCUAAUCAGAAGGCCACGGCUAACUACGUG
rnacentral:rRNA from 1 species